UACGGGGGGGGCAAGCGUUGUUCGGAAUUACUGGGCGUAAAGGGCUCGUAGGCGGCCAACUAAGUCAGACGUGAAAUCCCCUCGGCUUAACCGGGGAACUGCGUCUGAUACUGGAUGGCUUGAGUUUGGGAGAGGGAUGCGGAAUUCCAGGUGUAGCGGUGAAAUGCGUAGAUAUCUGGAGGAACACCGGUGGCGAAGGCGGCGAUCCUGGACCAACACUGACGCUGAGGAGCGAAAGCCAGGGGAGCAAACGGGG
rnacentral:rRNA from 1 species